UAUCCACAAAAACGAGGAGUCCGGUGGCACAUUAAAGACUAACAGAUUUAUUUGGGCAUAAAAAACCCCACUUCAGCUGCAUGGAAGCUUCGCACUCCAUGCAUCUGAAGAAGUGGAGUUUUUAUCCAUGAAAGCUUAUGCACGAAUAAAUCUGUUAGUCUUUAAGGUGCCGCUGGGCUCCUCAUUGUUUAUUGUGUAUUUUAUCCUCAAUAUGUACCUAAUUUACAUCUGUGUCCUCUAUGUAAAGAAAAGGGAGAGGAAGCUGAUAACUCUUUAAAUCCUGCCUCUUGCUCAUCUAUUUAAAAAAUAAAAAAACACUACAGAAAUUAGCAGCUAUAGGCCUAAAGCUUUUUAAAAUGUCUUCAGUCCUGCCCAUUUCUUUUCCUCAACCCUCACUUCUAUUUCAAAGAAUCUAGGGCUUUUUUACUUGGCAAAGAGAAAUUAGAAGCUGUUAAAAUGGUCCUGAUUUGACUUUCUAAAUUAUAGUAAGCUUGAGAACAUCCCAGCUGUGUUGGUAAAGCACUGUUGUGGCACACUGUCUGGACUGCUAGAAUGUAACUUUUUAUUUUGUUUCUGAAAUUCAGCUUCUGUGUUUUACAGCGGUUUGCAGUCAGAUGAAAGCAUUAUGUUAAUCCUUCAGUCAUGGUACUUUGUUCAGCAGCCUUUUACAGGCAGCUGAGUUCUCUUCUGUAUAAAAAGUUUAGCUGGGUGUAUUGGUCAGUCUCUGAUUUAGGUUUUCUGAAUACAGAUAAAUUUGAAAGCAUCCCAGUUGCUCAUAAAACAUAGUUUGGCUGAUAACCUGUAGUGUACCUGAGGAGUAGGGGGAAAGAAUGAAUUGCAAGUGAACGGGACCAACCUGGAAAUUUCAGAAAUAUUUAAUAUUCAAUGAGUAUUUUCUGUAUUUUAGCUUUGUCUGCUUGUGUGUGUCAUGCUUUCUGUUUUAAGUAACCUACACCACCUGCCCUUUGAAAUAAUUGACUUCAAUAGGCUUUGGAUGGGAAGCCUGUGUGAGGGGUAAAGCUGAUUCAAGCCUUAGGGUGGGAUGAACGACUGUUGAAGGAAUGAUCUCUCCUUAUAGCAAGCAAAAAAGGGGAGUAGAAAUCAAAGUUUUAUCUGAAACUGGUGGAGACUAAGUAACAAUAAAAUAAAAUAAAAUUAAAAGUUAUAACACAACAUUUACAAGGAAAUAACUUGUAAAAAUGUAUAGAAACUUACCUAAAAUCUU